rnacentral:rRNA from 1 species
GAUGAACGCUAGCGAUAGGCUUAACACAUGCAAGUCGAGGGGUAACGUGUUGGAAGCUUGCUUCCGAUGACGACGACCGGCGGAUGGGUGCGUAACGCGUAUGCAACUUGCCUCACAGUGGAGAAUAACCCGGAGAAAUCCGGACUAAUACUCCAUACACUCUUAAGUACGCCUGUACAUGAGAGGAAAGAUUUAUCGCUGUGAGAUAGGCAUGCGUCCUAUUAGGUAGUUGGUGAGGUAACGGCUCACCAAGCCGACGAUAGGUAGGGGUGCUGAGAGGCAGAUCCCCCACAUUGGGACUGAGACACGGCCCAAACUCCUACGGGAGGCAGCAGUGAGGAAUAUUGAUCAAUGGAGGAAACUCUGAACCAGCCAAGUCGCGUGAAGGAAGAAUGUCCUAAGGAUUGUAAACUUCUUUAGCGAGCGAGUAAGGACUUCCACGUGAUGGGAGUUUGAAAGUAGCUCGAGAAUAAGUAUCGGCUAACUCCGU